rnacentral:rRNA from 1 species
AGUGAACGCUGGCGGCAGGCCUAAUACAUGCAAGUCGAACGGCAGCACAGUGGAGCUUGCUCCAUGGGUGGCGAGUGGCGGACGGGUGAGGAAUACAUGGGAAUCUGCCCAGUCGUGGGGGAUAACGUAUGGAAACGUACGCUAAUACCGCAUGCGCCCUUCGGGGGAAGGUCGGGGACCGCAAGGCCUGACGCGAUUGGAUGAGCCACUGUUCGAUUAGCUAGUUGGCGGGGUAACGGCCCACCCAAGGCGACGAUCGAUAGCUGGUCUGAGAGGAUGAUCAGCCACACUGGAACUGAG